AGCGAACGCUGGCGGCAGGCCUAACACAUGCAAGUCGAACGAACCUUUCGGGGUUAGUGGCGGACGGGUGAGUACCACGUGGGAACGUGCCCUUAGGUACGGAAUAACUCAGGGAAACUUGUGCUAAUACCGAAUGUGCUCUUCGGGGGAAAGAUUAAUCGCCUUUAGAGCGGCCCGCGUCUGUUUAGCUAGUUGGGUGAGGAAAUGGCUCACCAAGGCGACGAUCAGUAGCUGGUCUGAGAGGAUGAUCAGCCACAUUGGGACUGAGACACGGCCCAAACUCCUACGGGAGGCAGCAGUGGGGAAUCUUGCGCAAUGGGCGAAAGCCUGACGCAGCCAUGCCGCGUGAAUGAUGAAGGUCUUAGGAUUGUAAAAUUCUUUCACCGGGGACGAUAAUGACGGUACCCGGAGAAGAAGCCCCGGCUAACUUCGUG
rnacentral:rRNA from 1 species